rnacentral:lncRNA from 1 species
UUUGAUGGUUCAGUAAUUUCAUGAAUCCCUAUGUUUGUUGCUACUUUUUCAGAGCAUGGCAACAUGUUCAUUGUUCUUCAGUACCUUGGUCAUUUCUUUUCUCUUCAGUAAUUUUCUUUUCAUUAGUAUUUUUCCUUUUCUUUUAGUAUUUAUUUUUUAGCAUACAUUCAGUAAUUGAUGGUUCAGUAAUUUCACAUAUUCUCCUUAACUUUUAUUGCUUGAUAGUAUUCUUCUUAAUUCUUUUCCAUCAUUCAUU